UACUAUCAAACGGCCGUUACU
rnacentral:piRNA from 1 species